rnacentral:lncRNA from 1 species
AUAUGAGCGGGCAGGAAGCGCCGGGGAGGGAGCGAGGGGAGGGCGCCCGGAGCCGCUCGGCGGGCAGGGCCGGCAGACAGACAGACACACGGACAGACAGACACACACACAGACAGCUCGGCAGCAGCCACAGCAGCGACAGCAGCCACAGCAGCGACCGUCCGUCCCCACGGCCAUGGGGCUCGGCCGGCUCCCCGCACCCCGCCAUUGGCUCUUUUGGUGGGUCCUGUGCCCCGCGCAGGCUGUGGCUGAGCAGGGGAGGUCCUGCAGCCCUGUCACACUGUGCUGAGUGUGGCUGCUCUCCCUGCACAACUCCUUCAGCUCAUUUCGUGUGAGAUCUCUCUCUUCCAAAUCACUGGCACCUAAAAUGCUGCACAGGUUAUGCUCCAUAAACCAUCUCCAGUUUUUCUUCUAUUCACUGUGAUGGAUGAAACACUGCCCAGUAGCUGGCUUCACAUUCAAGAAGCACAGAGGAGCUGCUGCACUCAAAUCUUUCUGAAGCUACUUUCUCUCAUGGCUUAAAUGUUCCUGAAUGCUUUUGUUUUCCAGGCAGAUCUGAUUAGUUUGAGUUGCUUGGAGUGAACAUUUUAAUAAAUCUGAG